CCUACGGGUGGCAGCAGUGGGGAAUAUUGGACAAUGGGGGCAACCCUGAUCCAGCCAUGCCGCGUGUGUGAAGAAGGCCCUCGGGUUGUAAAGCACUUUCAGUGAGGAAGAACGCCUGGUGGUUAAUACCCAUCAGGAAAGACAUCACUCACAGAAGAAGCACCGGCUAACUCCGUGCCAGCAGCCGCGGUAAUACGGAGGGUGCGAGCGUUAAUCGGAAUUACUGGGCGUAAAGCGCGCGUAGGUGGCUUGAUAAGCCGGUUGUGAAAGCCCCGGGCUCAACCUGGGAACGGCAUCCGGAACUGUCAAGCUAGAGUGCAGGAGAGGAAGGUAGAAUUCCCGGUGUAGCGGUGAAAUGCGUAGAGAUCGGGAGGAAUACCAGUGGCGAAGGCGGCCUUCUGGACUGACACUGACACUGAGGUGCGAAAGCGUGGGUAGCAAACAGGAUUAGAUACCCUUGUAGAC
rnacentral:rRNA from 1 species